UCUUGUAGGCCUUGAGGACCAGGAGGAUUAGCACUGCUUUCCCGUGAUAGGUUUACGGUUAAACUACAGGCUUUGCCUAUUCAGGUUGAUCAGUUGGUGCAGACGAGGCUGAGUUGAGGCUAAGUACCACGAUGUCUUUUGCUUCCGCUAAUGACUAGCUUAUCAUCUCGUCUUUUAAAUUCUCUAAAUUGAGAAUUUCUAUUGUGGGGUACAAUAUCAUCUCGUUGUGUUUAAACUCUUAUCCUAUAUAUUUUAAUGAAGCUAUCAUUGAUUAAGAUCAGAGUCACGGAACUAAACUUAUGUGAUCCUGAGUUUGAAUAUUGUCAUUUGAUUG